rnacentral:tRNA from 1 species
GAGGGUGUAGCUCAGUGGUAAAGUGCCUGCUUAGCAUGCACAAGGUCCUGGGUUCAAUCCCCAGGACCUCCA